AGUGAACGCUGGCGGUAGGCCUAACACAUGCAAGUCGAACGGCAGCACAGUAAGAUCUUGCUCUUACGGGUGGCGAGUGGCGGACGGGUGAGGAAUACAUCGGAAUCUACUUUUUCGUGGGGGAUAACGUAGGGAAACUUACGCUAAUACCGCAUACGACCUACGGGUGAAAGCAGGGGAUCUUCGGACCUUGUGCGAUUGAAUGAGCCGAUGUCGGAUUAGCUAGUUGGCGGGGUAAAGGCCCACCAAGGCGACGAUCCGUAGCUGGUCUGAGAGGAUGAUCAGCCACACUGGAACUGAGACACGGUCCAGACUCCUACGGGAGGCAGCAGUGGGGAAUAUUGGACAAUGGGCGCAAGCCUGAUCCAGCCAUACCGCGUGGGUGAAGAAGGCCUUCGGGUUGUAAAGCCCUUUUGUUGGGAGAGAAAAGCAGCAGGUUAAUACCCCGCUGUUCUGACGGUACCCAAAGAAUAAGCACCGGCUAACUUCGUG
rnacentral:rRNA from 1 species